GCUUAACACAUGCAAGUCGAACGGACUAAUUGGGGCUUGCUCCAAUUAGUUAGUGGCAGACGGGUGAGUAACACGUGGGAAUCUACCCAUCAGUACGGAAUAACUUUUAGAAAUAAAAGCUAAUACCGUAUAUUCUCUACGGAAAAAAGAUUUAUCGCUGAUGGAUGAGCCCGCGUCAGAUUAGGUAGUUGGUGAGGUAACGGCUCACCAAGCCGACGAUCUGUAGCUGGUCUGAGAGGAUGAUCAGCCACACUGGGACUGAGACACGGCCCAGACUCCUACGGGAGGCAGCAGUGGGGAAUAUUGGACAAUGGGCGAAAGCCUGAUCCAGCAAUACCGAGUGAGUGAUGAAGGCCUUAGGGUUGUAAAGCUCUUUUAGCAAGGAAGAUAA
rnacentral:rRNA from 1 species